rnacentral:rRNA from 1 species
CCUACGGGAGGCAGCAGUGAGGAAUAUUGGUCAAUGGGCGCGAGCCUGAACCAGCCAAGUAGCGUGAAGGAUGACUGCCCUACGGGUUGUAAACUUCUUUUAUAAAGAAAUAAAGUGAGGCACGUGUGCCUUUUUGUCUGUACCUUAUUACUAACGAUCGGCUAACUCCGUGCCAGCAGCCGCGGUCAUACGGCGGAUGCGAGCGUUAUCCGGAUUUAGUGGGUGUAAAGGGAGCGUAGUUGGUGUGUUAAGUCAGUUGUGAAAGUUUGCGGCUCAACCGUAAAAUUGCAAUUGAUACUGGCAUCCUUGAGUACAGUUGAGGUAGGCGGAAUUCGGGGUGUAGCGGUGAAAUGCGUAGAUAUCACGAAGAACUCCGAUUGCGAAGGCAGCCUACUAAACUGCCACUGACGUUGAGGCUCGAAAGUGUGGGUAGCAAACAGGAUUAGAUACCCGGGUAGUC